AGUCGGCCGAGAGGAGUCCGUGGAGCCACCGUUUCAUAGCCUCAGGGAAAGGAUCGGGCGUGCUCACGAGCCCUCUAACCCAUGGCUUAAACACCCGCUUCCUAAGCCUGGAUGGAAUGAUAGGGUAUGCAUAAAUGUUCAUGUGGGCUCUGGAGUAUACCAGGAACUGAAGUAAGGUACAUGGACGUCUUGAAUAUUGUAACUGAGAUGGGCAAGCCUACACCUUUGCAAAUAAAGGAGGAUUGGGAAAGAUUAAGCCUCUCAAGCACUGUGAAAAAUCACUUUCUCUUGUUGUAUUCUUGGAGCCCCUGCUAAUUCAUUAUUGAAAAAUACCUGCUGCCUGCAUUUGGCCUUAUGUUGUCAUUUACUUGGGUCUGUGCAUGGCGUUUAGAAGGCUACACCUUAGGCUGGGGGUCAAGAAUGUCUUCCCUGAUGUGAGGUUUACACAGAGAUCUGAAGAAUGAAGAGUCCAGCUAAGUUAAGUGGGAGCGGAUUAAGGGAAUGCAAGGACAUGAAAGAGUGUCCUAGGCAGAGGGAACAACAUAUACAAAGGCCCUGAGGUGGGAGUGAACAAGGAACUGAGAGAAGAACUGAGAGAAGGCCACUGUGGAAAGCCAGAUGCUGUGUGACAUGAAUAAUGGGACACAGGAAAUUGAGAUAUUAGCAAAAGAGAGAUUGAUGACCCAUAGGCUUGAAGAUGUACUGGAACUAAAGUAAGGGGCGAGGAUAAAUAAAAAGAGGGAGAAAUUGGAGAAACAGAGUGCUUGGAAGCCCUGAUGAAUUUGAGGAAAAGGAUGGUGAUAGAGUUGACCUAGCCAGCUAGAAGAGUAGUACUUUUUAGUCAGUGAGCCCUCCAUCCCAUUUCUCAUUAAUUCUUGUAACACUUUCUCACUUCCUAUAUUCUGUCAUAUUUUAUAGUUGUUUAUAUAAUUAUCUUAUUCUUUAUACCAAUUGUAGUUUCCCUGGGUGCUUAUUAUGGAUUAACAAUUAUAUUAUUAUUAAUAAUAUGGGUGAAUGUUUACAAA
rnacentral:lncRNA from 1 species